GAGCUCACUGUGCAUGUCCAUGCUGUGAUGUCUGACCGUACAGAUGCUGAUCUGAGCUGCACUCUCUUGCUGGGCAUUUUCAGUUGCCUUUAUGAUCUACAAAAUCAUUUCUCUGUGUCAUUUCUAGACACCUGCACAUCCCAGCUGCAUGCGUGGGUCCUGACAUCGGUGUCUUUGCUGUACCACAUCCACCCAUCUGCCACAGGAGCACUGGGGAAAUCUGUGCACUCACAAAGCUCUGGAGCAGAGAGAGCCAGCUCUGAAAAUACCUCCUGAAAUAUCCCGACUGUCAAGAUCUAGCCAGGAUUUACCAGGCGGUGUGGCUCUUGGUACCAGGAGAGGGCAUCAGAGACAGCUCCUGUGUCCUGCUGUGCCACUGCAGAGCAGCCACCCCUCCUGGGUACCUGUGCAGGGAAGGGACAGCCUUCCCUGGAUGGCAGCUUUCUGUGCAGUGUGUGCAGCCUGUGAAAGCUCUUGGGAAUA
rnacentral:lncRNA from 1 species